rnacentral:rRNA from 1 species
AUAUCAAUAAGCGGAGGAAAAGAAACCAACAGGGAUUGCCUCAGUAACGGCGAGUGAAGCGGCAAAAGCUCAAAUUUGAAAUCUGGUACCUUUGGUGCCCGAGUUGUAAUUUGAAGGUAGUUUUCUGGUGCUGGUCCUUGUCUAUGUUCCUUGGAACAGGACGUCAUAGAGGGUGAGAAUCCCGUCUGAUGGGGAAUCCAGUGCUUUGUAGAUUUCUACCGACGAGUCGAGUUGUUUGGGAAUGCAGCUCUAAGUGGGUGGUAAAUUCCAUCUAAAGCUAAAUAUUGGCGAGAGACCGAUAGCGAACAAGUACAGUGAUGGAAAGAUGAAAAGAACUUUGAAAAGAGAGUGAAAAAGUACGUGAAAUUGUUGAAAGGGAAGGGUAUUGGAUCAGACUUGGUGUUUUGUGAUUAUCUUCCCUUCUUGGGUUGUGCACUCGCAUUUCACUGGGCCAGCAUCGGUUCGGGUGGCAAGAUAAUGGCUUGGGAACGUGGCACUCUUCGGAGUGUGUUAUAGCCCUUGUUGAUGUUGCCUACCUGGACCGAGGACUGCGGCUUCUGCCUAGGAUGCUGGCGUAAUGAUUCAAUACCG